GACGAACGCUGGCGGCGUGCCUAAUACAUGCAAGUAGGACGCAGUUGCGAACGGGUGAGUAACGCUUAGGUAACUGCCUAUUAGAGGGGUAUAACUCUUGGACACGAUAGCUAAUACCGCAUACUAGUAGAUGGACCUGCGUUGUAUUAGCUAGUAGGUAGGGUAAUGGCCUACCUAGGCGACGAUACAUAGCCGAAAUGAGAGGGUGGUAGGCCGCACUGGGAGUGAGACACGGCCCAGACUCCUACGGGAUGGAGAAGUAGGGAAUCGUCGGGAAGGGGGGGAACCGUGAGCAAGAAAGGCGGAGUGAGUGAAGAGGGUUUUCGGAUCGUAAAGCACUGUUGUUAAGGAAGCGGUACUUAACCAGAAAGGGACGGCUAACUACGUGCCAGCAGCCGCGGUAAUUC
rnacentral:rRNA from 1 species